GAUUUACUUUUUAGAUUCUUUGCACUCUGCUAUCAAGAAAGACAUUAAAUAUGUUGUGAAUAUGUAAGUAUUAUCUAUAUUUUUAGUUUGAUACAUUAAUGUGUAGGAUUGAUAACUUAUUUUUUUUAAAACACAUUUAGGGCUCUAAGAAUGUUUAUGGCACAGAAUACUGUUCACGAGGUAGGAAGAAUCCUACUUGGCUUCCUGUACGGUGCCCACGUCAAUCAGGAUCGGUAAAGUGUGGAUAUUAUGUCAUGAGGUACAAUCGACAGAUAAUAUUUAAUCCAGACACUCCAAUACCUAAUAUUUUCAAUUCAAAAAAGUUGUCUACUCAAGUUGAACUUGAUGAGGUACGGGAUGAAUGAGCCGGAUUUGAUGCGAACUACACUUAGUUUGGGUUAGAUAGUAAAUAUAGUUUUAGCAUUUAAUAUGUAAAACAUUGAACUACGCUUGG